GACGAACGCUGGCGGCGUGCUUAACACAUGCAAGUCGAACGGUGAACCUGCUUCGGUGGAGGAUCAGUGGCGAACGGGUGAGUAACACGUGGGCAACCUGCCCUCAGCUCUGGGAUAACUCCAAGAAAUUGGGGCUAAUACUGGAUAUGACCGCUGACCGCAUGGUCUGGUGGUGGAAAGAUUUAUCGGCUGGGGAUGGGCCCGCGGCCUAUCAGCUUGUUGGUGGGGUAGUGGCCUACCAAGGCGACGACGGGUAGCCGGCCUGAGAGGGUGACCGGCCACACUGGGACUGAGACACGGCCCAGACUCCUACGGGAGGCAGCAGUGGGGAAUAUUGCGCAAUGGGCGAAAGCCUGACGCAGCGACGCCGCGUGGGGGAUGACGGCCUUCGGGUUGUAAACCUCUUUCAGCAGGGACGAAGCGAAAGUGACGGUACCUGCAGAAGAAGCACCGGCCAACUACGUG
rnacentral:rRNA from 1 species